rnacentral:tRNA from 3 species
GGAAGGGUGGCCGAGUGGUUAAAGGCAUCAGACUGUAAAUCUGACGACGUAUGUCUACACAGGUUCAAAUCCUGUCCCUUCCACCA